rnacentral:rRNA from 1 species
GAUGAACGCUGGCGGCGUGCCUAACACAUGCAAGUCGAGCGAAGCACCUUACUUGAUUUCUUCGGGAUGAAAGUAUUGUGACUGAGCGGCGGACGGGUGAGUAACGCGUGGGUAACCUGCCUCAUACAAGGGGAUAACAGUUAGAAAUGACUGCUAAUACCGCAUAAGACCACAGCACCGCAUGGUGCAGGGGUAAAAACUCCGGUGGUAUGAGAUGGAUCCGCGUCCGAUUAGCUGGUUGGUGAGGUAACGGCCCACCAAGGCGACGAUCGGUAGCCGGACUGAGAGGUUGAACGGCCACAUUGGGACUGAGACACGGCCCAG